rnacentral:rRNA from 1 species
GGAAUAUUGGGCAAUGGAGGAAACUCUGACCCAGCGACGCCGCGUGCGGGAUGAAGGCCUUCGGGUUGCAAACCGCUUUCAGCAGGGAAGAAGCGAAAGUGACGGUACCUGCAGAAGAAGCACCGGCUAACUAUGUGCCAGCAGCCGCGGUAAUACAUAGGGUGCAAGCGUUGUCCGGAAUUAUUGGGCGUAAAGAGCUCGGAGGUGGUUCGUCACGUCGGAUGUGAAACUCUGGGGCUUAACCCCAGACCUGCAUUCGAUACGGGCGAGCUUGAGUAUGGUAGGGGAGUCUGGAAUUCCUGGUGUAGCGGUGGAAUGCGCAGAUAUCAGGAGGAACACCAAUGGCGAAGGCAGGACUCUGGGCCAUUACUGACACUGAGGAGCGAAAGCGUGGGGAGCGAACAGGAUUAGAUACCCUGGUAGUCCACGCCGUAAACGGUGGGCACUAGUUGUGGGGACCUUCCACGGUCUCUGCGACGCAGCUAACGCAUUAAGUGCCCCGCCUGGGGAGUACGAUCGCAAGAUUAAAACUCAAAUGAAUUGACGG